rnacentral:lncRNA from 1 species
GGCCGGUCCGGGUCGGCUCUACGUGGGUCUGCCCUUGGACGUGGUCUCCGACGGCAACGUCGUCAACCACGGCAAGGCCAUCGCCGCCGGUCUCCGCGCCCUCGCCCUCCUCGGCGUUGAUGGAGUCGAACUCCCCAUCUCCUGGGGCGUGGCGAUGGACUCCGGCGACUGGUCCUCCUACCUCGCCGUCGCCGCCAUGGCGCGCGACGCCGGCCUUCGCCUCCGCGUCUCCCUCCACCUCCACUGCCACCGCCGCCCUCGCCUCCCCCUCCCCAAAUCGGUCGACUCCGCCGCCGCUACAGACCCCGACAUCCUAUUCACUGACCGCGCCGGCCGCCGCCGUGCCGACUGC